rnacentral:rRNA from 1 species
GGUGAACGCUGGCGGCGUGCCUAAUACAUGCAAGUCGAGCGAACAGACGAGGAGCUUGCUCCUCUGACGUUAGCGGCGGACGGGUGAGUAACACGUGGAUAACCUACCUAUAAGACUGGGAUAACUUCGGGAAACCGGAGCUAAUACCGGAUAAUAUAUUGAACCGCAUGGUUCAAUAGUGAAAGACGGUUUUGCUGUCACUUAUAGAUGGAUCCGCGCCGCAUUAGCUAGUUGGUAAGGUAACGGCUUACCAAGGCAACGAUGCGUAGCCGACCUGAGAGGGUGAUCGGCCACACUGGAACUGAGACACGGUCCAGACUCCUACGGGAGGCAGCAGUAGGGAAUCUUCCGCAAUGGGCGAAAGCCUGACGGAGCAACGCCGCGUUAGUGAUGAAGGUCUUCGGAUCGUAAAACUCUGUUAUUAGGGAAGAACAAAUGUGUAAGUAACUAUGCACGUCUUGACGGUACCUAAUCAGAAAGCCACGGCUAACUACGUG